rnacentral:rRNA from 1 species
GGAAUAUUGCGCAAUGGGCGAAAGCCUGACGCAGCGACGCCGCGUGAGGGAUGACGGCCUUCGGGUUGUAAACCUCUUUCAGCUCUGACGAAGCGCAAGUGACGGUAGGAGCAGAAGAAGCACCGGCCAACUACGUGCCAGCAGCCGCGGUAAUACGUAGGGUGCGAGCGUUGUCCGGAAUUAUUGGGCGUAAAGAGCUCGUAGGCGGUCUGUCGCGUCGAAUGUGAAAAUCCGAGGCUCAACCUCGGACCUGCAUUCGAUACGGGCAGACUAGAGUUCGGUAGGGGAGUCUGGAAUUCCUGGUGUAGCGGUGAAAUGCGCAGAUAUCAGGAGGAACACCGGUGGCGAAGGCGGGACUCUGGGCCGAUACUGACGCUGAGGAGCGAAAGCGUGGGGAGCAAACAG